rnacentral:rRNA from 1 species
GAUGAACGCUGGCGGCGUGCCUAAUACAUGCAAGUCGAGCGAACAGACGAGGAGCUUGCUCCUCUGACGUUAGCGGCGGACGGGUGAGUAACACGUGGAUAACCUACCUAUAAGACUGGGAUAACUUCGGGAAACCGGAGCUAAUACCGGAUAAUAUAUUGAACCGCAUGGUUCAAUAGUGAAAGACGGUUUUGCUGUCACUUAUAGAUGGAUCCGCGCCGCAUUAGCUAGUUGGUAAGGUAACGGCUUACCAAGGCAACGAUGCGUAGCCGACCUGAGAGGGUGAUCGGCCACACUGGAACUGAGACACGGUCCAGACUCUUACGGGAGGAAGCAGUAGGGAAUCUUCCGCAAUGGGCGAAAGCCUGACGGAGCAACGCCGCGUGAGUGAUGAAGGUCUUCGGAUCGUAAAACUCUGUUAUUAGGGAAGAACAAAUGUGUAAGUAACUAUGCACGUCUUGACGGUACCUAAUCAGAAAGCCACGGCUAACUACGUG